CUUGGUCAUUUAGAGGAAGUAAAAGUCGUAACAAGGUUUCCGUAGGUGAACCUGCGGAAGGAUCAUUAUUGAAAUAAACCUGAUGAGUUGUUGCUGGUUCUCUAGGGAGCAAGUGCACGCUUGUCAUCUUUAUAUCUCCACUUGUGCACCUCUUGUAGACCUGGAUAUCUCUCUGAMUGCCCACUGGCAUUCAGGAUUUAUGAGGACUGACUUUUUCUGUCUAUCCUUACAUUUCCAGGCCUAUGUUUAUUCACAGACUCUAAUCUAUGUCAUAGAAUGUAAUAAACAGGCCAUUUGUGUCUAUAAACCYUAUACAACUUUCAGCAACGGAUCUCUUGGCUCUCGCAUCGAUGAAGAACGCAGCGAAAUGCGAUAAGUAAUGUGAAUUGCAGAAUUCAGUGAAUCAUCGAAUCUUUGAACGCACCUUGCGCUCCUUGGUAUUCUGAGGAGCAUGCCUGUUUGAGUGUCAUUAAUAUAUGUCAACCUUCUGAGCUUUUUUUAUGCUUGUUGAGUGGUUGGAUGUGGGGGAKUUUUUUUUGCAGGCCUUUCUGAGGUCAGCUCCUCUAAAAUGCAUUAGCUGAACAAUUUGUUGACCGUUCAUUGGUGUGAUAACUAUCUACGCUAUUGACGUGAAAGCAAGUUUGGCUUCUAACAGUCCAUUGACUUGGACAACUUUUCAUUAAUGUGACCUCAAAUCAGGUAGGACUACCCGCUGAACUUAAGCAUAUCAAUAAGCGGAGGA
rnacentral:rRNA from 1 species